rnacentral:rRNA from 1 species
AGUGAACGCUGGCGGUAGGCCUAACACAUGCAAGUCGAACGGCAGCACAGUAAGAGCUUGCUCUUACGGGUGGCGAGUGGCGGACGGGUGAGGAAUACAUCGGAAUCUACUUUUUCGUGGGGGAUAACGUAGGGAAACUUACGCUAAUACCGCAUACGACCUACGGGUGAAAGCAGGGGAUCUUCGGACCUUGCGCGAUUGAAUGAGCCGAUGUCGGAUUAGCUAGUUGGCGGGGUAAAGGCCCACCAAGGCGACGAUCCGUAGCUGGUCUGAGAGGAUGAUCAGCCACACUGGAAGUGAGACACGGUCCAGACUCCUACGGGAGGCAGCAGUGGGGAAUAUUGGACAAUGGGCGCAAGCCUGAUCCAGCCAUACCGCGUGGGUGAAGAAGGCCUCGGGUUGUAAAGCCCUUUUGUUGGGAAAGAAAAGCAGCAGGUUAAUACCCCGCUGUUCUGACGGUACCCAAAGAAUAAGCACCGGCUAACUUCGUG